GAACGGUAACAUUUCUAGCUUGCUAGAAGAUGACGAGUGGCGGACGGGUGAGUAAUGCUUGGGAACUUGCCUUUGCGAGGGGGAUAACAGUUGGAAACGACUGCUAAUACCGCAUAAUGUCUUCGGACCAAACGGGGCUUUUAGCUCCGGCGCAAAGAGAGGCCCAAGUGAGAUUAGCUAGUUGGUAAGGUAACGGCUUACCAAGGCGACGAUCUCUAGCUGUUCUGAGAGGAAGAUCAGCCACACUGGGACUGAGACACGGCCCAGACUCCUACGGGAGGCAGCAGUGGGGAAUAUUGCACAAUGGGGGAAACCCUGAUGCAGCCAUGCCGCGUGUGUGAAGAAGGCCUUCGGGUUGUAAAGCACUUUCAGUUGUGAGGAAAAGUUAGUAGUUAAUACCUGCUAGCCGUGACGUUAACAACAGAAGAAGCACCGGCUAACUCCGUGCCAGCAGCCGCGGUAAUACGGAGGGUGCGAGCGUUAAUCGGAAUUACUGGGCGUAAAGCGCACGCAGGCGGUUUGUUAAGCUAGAUGUGAAAGCCCCGGGCUCAACCUGGGAUGGUCAUUUAGAACUGGCAGACUAGAGUCUUGGAGAGGGGAGUGGAAUUCCAGGUGUAGCGGUGAAAUGCGUAGAUAUCUGGAGGAACAUCAGUGGCGAAGGCGACUCCCUGGCCAAAGACUGACGCUCAUGUGCGAAAGUGUGGGUAGCGAACAGGAUUAGAUACCCUGGUAGUCCACACCGUAAACGCUGUCUACUAGCUGUGUGUGCCUUUA
rnacentral:rRNA from 1 species